rnacentral:snRNA from 1 species
UGCUGUCUUAGGCAGCAAAUAUACUAAAAUUAGAACGAUACAGAGAUUAGAAUGGCCCCUACGCAAGGAUGACAUGUGAAUUUGUGAAGUGUUCCAUAUUUUU